AUUGAACGCUGGCGGUAGGCCUAACACAUGCAAGUCGAGCGGAGCGGCGGACGGGUGAGUAAUGCCUAGGAAUCUGCCCGGUAGUGGGGGAUAACGCCCGGAAACGGGCGCUAAUACCGCAUACUAUCAGAUGAGCCUAGGUCGGAUUAGCUAGUUGGUGGGGUACAGGCUCACCAAGGCGACGAUACGGACCUGGUUUGAGAAGAUGAUCAGUCACAAGGGGACUGAGACACGGACCAGACUCCUAAGGGAGGCAGCAGUGGGGAAUAUUGGACAAUGGGCGAAAGCCUGAUACAGCCAUGACGCGUGUGUGAUGAAGGUCUUCGGAUUGUAAAGAACUUUAAGUUGGGAGGCGUUACCAACAGGAUAAACACCGGCUAACUUCGUGCCAGCAGCCGCGGUAAUUC
rnacentral:rRNA from 1 species